rnacentral:RNase_P_RNA from 1 species
GAAGCACGCCAGACCGCCGCUGGUGCAUGUGCCGAAAGGCCGCACUGGAGGAACGUCCGGACUGCAAAGGACAGCGUAGCAGCUAACGGCUGCCCACCGUGAGGUGAGGAUCAGAGCAACAGAGACGAGCCGAUUCAGUUCGGGUGAAACGGGCAAUCUCUACGCGCAGCAAUACCAAGUAGGCCAGCGUUGAUGUGGUUCCGCAGAGCUGGCGGGUAGGUAGCAUCGAGCCGUGGUGGCGACACCCGGCCCAGAUUAAUGGCGGUCACGUUGCGGGCAACCGCAAUGCACAGAAUCCGGCUUAUCGGCGGGCUUCACAC